UUCAGGCUUAACACAUGCAAGUCGAGGGGCAGCAUUUCAGUUUGCUUGCAAACUGGAGAUGGCGACCGGCGCACGGGUGAGUAACACGUAUCCAACCUGCCGAUAACUCGGGGAUAGCCUUUCGAAAGAAAGAUUAAUACCCGAUGGUAUAAUCAGACCGCAUGGUCUUGUUAUUAAAGAAUUUCGGUUAUCGAUGGGGAUGCGUUCCAUUAGGCAGUUGGUGAGGUAACGGCUCACCAAACCUUCGAUGGAUAGGGGUUCUGAGAGGAAGGUCCCCCACAUUGGAACUGAGACACGGUCCAAACUCCUACGGGAGGCAGCAGUGAGGAAUAUUGGUCAAUGGGCGCAGGCCUGAACCAGCCAAGUAGCGUGAAGGAUGACUGCCCUAUGGGUUGUAAACUUCUUUUAUAUGGGAAUAAAGUUUUCCACGUGUGGAAUUUUGUAUGUACCAUAUGAAUAAGGAUCGGCUAACUCCGUGCCAGCAGCCGCGGUAAUACGGAGGAUCCGAGCGUUAUCCGGAUUUAUUGGGUUUAAAGGGAGCGUAGGUGGACAGUUAAGUCAGUUGUGAAAGUUUGCGGCUCAACCGUAAAAUUGCAGUUGAUACUGGCUGUCUUGAGUACAGUAGAGGUGGGCGGAAUUCGUGGUGUAGCGGUGAAAUGCUUAGAUAUCACGAAGAACUCCGAUUGCGAAGGCAGCUCACUGGACUGCAACUGACACUGAUGCUCGAAAGUGUGGGUAUCAAACAGGAUUAGAUACCCUGGUAGUCCACACAGUAAACGAUGAAUACUCGCUGUUUGCGAUAUACAGUAAGCGGCCAAGCGAAAGCAUUAAGUAUUCCACCUGGGGAGUACGCCGGCAACGGUGAAGCUCAAAGGAAUUGACGGGGGCCCGCACAAGCGGAGGAACAUGUGGUUUAAUUCGAUGAUACGCGAGGAACCUUACCCGGGCUUAAAUUGCAUUUGAAUAUAUUGGAAACAGUAUAGCCGUAAGGCAAAUGUGAAGGUGCUGCAUGGUUGUCGUCAGCUCGUGCCGUGAGGUGUCGGCUUAAGUGCCAUAACGAGCGCAACCCUUAUCUUUAGUUACUAACAGGUCAUGCUGAGGACUCUAGAGAGACUGCCGUCGUAAGAUGUGAGGAAGGUGGGGAUGACGUCAAAUCAGCACGGCCCUUACGUCCGGGGCUACACACGUGUUACAAUGGGGGGUACAGAAGGCAGCUACCUGGUGACAGGAUGCUAAUCCCAAAAGCCUCUCUCAGUUCGGAUCGAAGUCUGCAACCCGACUUCGUGAAGCUGGAUUCGCUAGUAAUCGCGCAUCAGCCAUGGCGCGGUGAAUACGUUCCCGGGCCUUGUACACACCGCCCGUCAAGCCAUGAAAGCCGGGGGUACCUGAAGUACGUAACCGCAAGGAGCGUCCUAGGGUAAAACUGGUAAUUGG
rnacentral:rRNA from 1 species